rnacentral:tRNA from 1 species
GAGGUUGUGGCUCAGCGGUAGAGCGCUCGCCUUGUACAUGCGAGACACUGGGUUCGAUCCUCAGCACCACA